GUGGGGAAUCUUGCGCAAUGGGCGAAAGCCUGACGCAGCCAUGCCGCGUGAAUGAUGAAGGUCUUAGGAUUGUAAAAUUCUUUCACCGGGAACGAUAAUGACGGUACCCGGAGAAGAAGCCCCGGCUAACUUCGUGCCAGCAGCCGCGGUAAUACGAAGGGGGCUAGCGUUGCUCGGAAUUACUGGGCGUAAAGGGCGCGUAGGCGGACAGUUUAGUCAGAGGUGAAAGCCCAGGGCUCAACCUUGGAAUUGCCUUUGAUACUGGCUGUCUUGAGUACGGGAGAGGUGAGUGGAACUCCGAGUGUAGAGGUGAAAUUCGUAGAUAUUCGGAAGAACACCAGUGGCGAAGGCGACUCACUGGCCCGUUACUGACGCUGAGGCGCGAAAGCGUGGGGAGCAAACAGGAUUAGAAACCCGAGUAGUCC
rnacentral:rRNA from 1 species